rnacentral:rRNA from 1 species
AUUGAACGCUGGCGGAAUGCUUUACACAUGCAAGUCGAACGGCAGCACGGGGGCAGCCCUGGUGGCGAGUGGCGAACGGGUGAGUAAUACAUCGGAACGUGCCCGGUCGUGGGGAUAACGUAGCGAAAGUUACGCUAAUACCGCAUACGAUCUGAGGAUGAAAGCGGGGGACCUUCGGGCCUCGCGCGAUCGGAGCGGCCGAUGUCAGAUUAGGUAGUUGGUGGGGUAAAGGCCUACCAAGCCGACGAUCUGUAGCUGGUCUGAGAGGACGACCAGCCACACUGGGACUGAGACACGGCCCAGACUCCUACGGGAGGCAGCAGUGGGGAAUUUUGGACAAUGGGCGCAAGCCUGAUCCAGCCAUUCCGCGUGCAGGACGAAGGCCUUCGGGUUGUAAACUGCUUUUGUACGGAACGAAAAGGCUCUGGCUAAUACCUGGGGCUCAUGACGGUACCGUAAGAAUAAGCACCGGCUAACUACGUG